UACGGAGGGUGCAAGCGUUAAUCGGAAUGACUGGGCGUAAAGCGCACGCAGGCGGUUUGUUAAGUUGGAUGUGAAAUCCCCGGGCUUAACCUGGGAACUGCAUUCAAGACUGGCAAGCUAGAGUCUCGUAGAGGGGGGUAGAAUUCCAGGUGUAGCGGUGAAAUGCGUAGAGAUCUGGAGGAAUACCGGUGGCGAAGGCGGCCCCCUGGACGAAGACUGACGCUCAGGUGCGAAAGCGUGGGGAGCAAAC
rnacentral:rRNA from 1 species